rnacentral:rRNA from 1 species
UACGUAGGGGGCAAGCGUUGUCCGGAUUUAUUGGGCGUAAAGAGCGUGUAGGCGGCCAAGCAGGUCAGCUGUGAAAACUCGAGGCUCAACCUCGAGACGUCGGUUGAAACCGCUUGGCUAGAGUCCGGAAGAGGAGAGUGGAAUUCCCGGUGUAGCGGUGAAAUGCGCAGAUAUCGGGAAGAACACCCGUGGCGAAGGCGGCUCUCUGGGACGGUACUGACGCUGAGAUGCGAAAGCGUGGGGAGCGAACAGG